UACGUAGGGCGCAAGCGUUGUCCGGAAUUAUUGGGCGUAAAGAGCUCGUAGGCGGCCUGUUGCGUCCGCUGUGAAAUCCCGGGGCUCAACCCCGGGCCUGCAGUGGAUACGGGCUGGCUGGAGGCAGGCAGGGGAGAACGGAAUUCCUGGUGUAGCGGUGAAAUGCGCAGAUAUCAGGAGGAACACCGGUGGCGAAGGCGGUUCUCUGGGCCUUACCUGACGCUGAGACGCGAAAGCGUGGGGAGCGAACAGG
rnacentral:rRNA from 1 species